rnacentral:rRNA from 1 species
AGGUUAAGUGAAUAAGGGCGCACGGUGGAUGCCUUGGCACUAGGAGCCGAUGAAGGACGGGACUAACACCGAUAUGCUUUGGGGAGCUGUAAGUAAGCUAUGAUCCAGAGAUUUCCGAAUGGGGGAACCCAGCAUCUUUUAUAGGAUGUUACGUCUGCGUGAAUACAUAGCGCAGUCGAGGUAGACGCAGAGAACUGAAACAUCUAAGUACCUGCAGGAAGAGAAAGAAAAUUCGAUUCCCUGAGUAGCGGCGAGCGAAACGGGAAAAGCCCAAACCAACAAGCUUGCUUGUUGGGGUUGUAGGACUCCGAUAUGGUAGUCUAUUCAGAUAGUCGAAAUACUUGGAAAAGUAUGUCAAAGAGGGUAAAAACCCCGUAGGCGAAAUUUGGAUAACACCUAGGAGGAUCCUGAGUACGGCGGAACACGAGGAAUUCCGUCGGAAUCCGGGAGGACCAUCUCCCAAGGCUAAAUACUCCCUAGUGACCGAUAGUGAACCAGUACCGUGAGGGAAAGGUGAAAAGCACCCCGGAAGGGGAGUGAAAUAGAUCCUGAAACCGUGUGCCUACAACAAGUUAGAGCCCGUUAAUGGGUGAUAGCGUGCCUUUUGUAGAAUGAACCGGCGAGUUACGAUAGCAUGCGAGGUUAAGUUGAAGAGACGGAGCCGCAGCGAAAGCGAGUCUGAAUAGGGCGAAUGAGUAUGUUGUCGUAGACCCGAAACCAUGUGAUCUACCCAUGUCCAGGUUGAAGGUGCGGUAAAACGCACUGGAGGACCGAACCCACGUACGUUGAAAAGUGCGGGGAUGAGGUGUGGGUAGCGGAGAAAUUCCAAACGAACUUGGAGAUAGCUGGUUCUCUCCGAAAUAGCUUUAGGGCUAGCCUCGGAAUUGAGAAUGAUGGAGGUAGAGCACUGUUUGGACUAGGGGCCCAUCUCGGGUUACCGAAUUCAGAUAAACUCCGAAUGCCAUUCAUUCAUAUCCGGGAGUCAGACUGUGAGUGAUAAGAUCCAUAGUCGAAAGGGAAACAGCCCAGACCACCAGCUAAGGUCCCCAAAUAACUAUUAAGUGGAAAAGGAUGUGGGGUUGCACAGACAACUAGGAUGUUGGCUUAGAAGCAGCCACCAUUUAAAGAGUGCGUAAUAGCUCACUAGUCGAGUGACCCUGCGCCGAAAAUGUACCGGGGCUAAAUAGUUUACCGAAGCUGUGGAGUGCACCAUCAGGUGCAUUGGUAGGAGAGCGUUCUAAGGGCGUUGAAGGCAGAUCGUGAGGACUGCUGGAGCGCUUAGAAGUGAGAAUGCCGGUAUGAGUAGCGAAAGACAGGUGAGAAUCCUGUCCACCGAAUGACUAAGGUUUCCUGGGGAAGGCUCGUCCGCCCAGGGUUAGUCGGGACCUAAGCCGAGGCCGACAGGCGUAGGCGAUGGACAACAGGUUGAUAUUCCUGUACCCGUUGUUUUUGUUUGAGCAAUGGAGGGACGCAGGAGGCUAAGAAGUGCAGACUGAUGGAUAUGUCUGUUCAAGCAGUAAGUCUUGGUAGGAGUCAAAUGCUUCUACCUAUACGGACAAGCUGUGAUGAGGAGGGAAAUAAUAGUACCGAAGCUUCUGAUGUCACACUGCCAAGAAAAGCUUCUAGUGAGAAAACAACGGCCCGUACCGCAAACCGACACAGGUAGUCGAGGAGAGAAUCCUAAGGUGAGCGAGAGAACUCUCGUUAAGGAACUCGGCAAAAUGACCCCGUAACUUCGGGAGAAGGGGUGCUGCUCUAACGAGCAGCCGCAGUGAAUAGGCCCAAGCGACUGUUUAUCAAAAACACAGGUCUCUGCAAAAUCGAAAGAUGACGUAUAGGGGCUGACGCCUGCCCGGUGCUGGAAGGUUAAGAGGAGUGCUUAGCGUAAGCGAAGGUACGAAUUGAAGCCCCAGUAAACGGCGGCCGUAACUAUAACGGUCCUAAGGUAGCGAAAUUCCUUGUCGGGUAAGUUCCGACCCGCACGAAAGGCGUAACGAUUUGGGCACUGUCUCAACGAGAGACUCGGUGAAAUUUUAGUACCUGUGAAGAUGCAGGUUACCCGCGACAGGACGGAAAGACCCCAUGGAGCUUUACUGUAGUUUGAUAUUGAGUGUCUGUACCGCAUGUACAGGAUAGGUAGGAGCCGUAGAGAUCGGGACGCCAGUUUCGAUGGAGGCAAUGGUGGGAUACUACCCUUGCGUUAUGGCCACU